rnacentral:rRNA from 1 species
UCCAGACUCCUACGGGAGGCAGCAGUGGGGAAUAUUGCACAAUGGGGGAAACCCUGAUGCAGCGACGCCGCGUGAGUGAAGAAGUAAUUCGUUAUGUAAAGCUCUAUCAGCAGGGAAGAAAAUGACGGUACCUGAGUAAGAAGCCCCGGCUAACUACGUGCCAGCAGCCGCGGUAAUACGUAGGGGGCAAGCGUUAUCCGGAUUUACUGGGUGUAAAGGGAGCGUAGACGGCAGCGCAAGUCUGGAGUGAAGUGCCGGGGCCCAACCCCGGAACUGCUCUGGAAACUGUGAAGCUGGAGUGCAGGAGAGGUAAGCGGAAUUCCUGGUGUAGCGGUGAAAUGCGUAGAUAUCAGGAGGAACACCGGCGGCGAAGGCGGCUUACUGGACUGUAACUGACGUUGAGGCUCGAAGGCGUGGGGAGCAAACAGGAUUAGAUACCCUGGUACU